UACGUAGGGGGCAAGCGUUGUCCGGAAUCAUUGGGCGUAAAGCGCGUGUAGGCGGCUCGGUAAGUCCGCUCUGAAAGUCCGGGGCUCAACCCCGGGAGGCGGGUGGAUACUGUCGAGCUCGAGUCCGGAAGAGGCGAGUGGAAUUCCUGGUGUAGCAGUGAAAUGCGCAGAUAUCAGGAGGAACACCGAUGGCGAAGGCAGCUCGCUGGGACGUGACUGACGCUGAGACGCGAAAGCGUGGGGAGCAAACAGG
rnacentral:rRNA from 1 species